rnacentral:misc_RNA from 1 species
GAAAUGCGAUAAGUAAUGUAAAUUGCAGAAUUCAGUGAAUCAUCGAAUCUUUGAACGCACAUUGCGCCCGCCAGUAUUCUGGCGGGCAUGCCUGUUCGAGCGUCAUUUCAACCAUCAAGCCCCUGCGCUUGUGUUGGAGCCCUGCGGCUGCCGCAGGCUCCCAAACCCAGUGGCGGGCUCGUCGUCGUACCGAGUGCAGGAAACUUACCACGCUCAGGGCACGCGACGGGUGACCGGCCGUAAAACCCCCCACUUUCUCAAGGUUGACCUCGGAUCAGGUAGGAAUACCCGCUGAACUUAA